AGCUUUGCACAGUGGCAGCAUCGUAGCCAAUGAGGUUUAUCUGAGGCGUGAUUAUUGCUAAUACACCAAAAAUAGGAUCUUAUACUGAGCAACUCACUUGUCUCAUUCAACAAAAUUUUCGGGAAACCUUUCCAUCUUCCUCAACAUAGGU
rnacentral:snRNA from 3 species